rnacentral:rRNA from 1 species
AGUGAACGCUGGCGGUAGGCCUAACACAUGCAAGUCGAACGGCAGCACAGGAGAGCUUGCUCUCUGGGUGGCGAGUGGCGGACGGGUGAGGAAUACAUCGGAAUCUACCUUUUCGUGGGGGAUAACGUAGGGAAACUUACGCUAAUACCGCAUACGACCUACGGGUGAAAGUGGGGGGCCGCAAGGCCUCACGCGAUUAGAUGAGCCGAUGUCCGAUUAGCUAGUUGGCGGGGUAAUGGCCCACCAAGGCGACGAUCGGUAGCUGGUCUGAGAGGAUGAUCAGCCACACUGGAACGGAGACACGGUCCAGACUCCUACGGGAGGCAGCAGUGGGGAAUAUUGGACAAUGGGCGCAAGCCUGAUCCAGCCAUACCGCGUGGGUGAAGAAGGCCUUCGGGUUGUAAAGCCCUUUUGUUGGGAAAGAAAUCCUAUCGGUUAAUAACCGGUGGGGAUGACGGUACCCAAGGAAUAAGCACCGGCUAACUUCGUGCCAGCCGCCGCCGUAA